UUUAUUUAUAGCCUCUGGCUAUAGGAAAUUGUUAGUGGCAGACGGGUGAGUAAUGCGUAGGAAUCCACCUAGUAGUACGGAAUAGCCAUUAGAAAUGGUGGGUAAUACUGUAUAAUCCCCGAGGGGGAAAGAUUUAUCGCUAUUAGAUGAGCCUACGUUAGAUUAGCUAGUUGGUGAGGUAAUGGCUUACCAAGGCUAUGAUCUAUAGCUGGUCUGAGAGGACGAUCAGCCACACUGGAACUGAGAUACGGUCCAGACUCCUACGGGAGGCAGCAGUGGGGAAUAUUGGACAAUGGGCGAAAGCCUGAUCCAGCUAUGCCGCGUGAGUGAAGAAGGCCUUCGGGUUGUAAAACUCUUUCAAUAGGGAAGAUAAUGACGGUACCUAUAAA
rnacentral:rRNA from 1 species